rnacentral:lncRNA from 1 species
GACUCUCUUAGCUUCUGAUGCCUCUAGCUGCUCAGUUUCCCACGGGCUUCUUGAGAAGCACAAGGUGGGAAGGUGGGGGGAAAGGCACAGGACUGGACCAGCACAGGGCUGUCUGCAGAGAUUCAAGUGUUUGUAAGCCAAGCCUCUCACUAUCCCAAGCCAGAUACCUCUUUGCCUGAAGUGAGUGCUCUUCUUGGCAAAGCAUAGCUUGCCAGGCAUCAUGAGGAGAGUCAGGGUCAAGCUGAGGAAGUUACCUGAGCAGAAUUGGAUUGGGCAUAGCAAGGUUCUGAGACUUGAACUAGCUUUUCUGUGUCCAGACCAGAGGCAGAGGGAUGAAUGGAAUUUACUGCCAGAGGACUGAAAUCUCUCUCUCUCUCUCUCUCUCUCUCUCUCUCUCUCUCUCUCUCUGCUUUUCUUCCCAAUCCUGACCAAAUCCUCACUGCUACUCCAAAGGCCCCUUUGGCAUUUGGACCUGGGGUGGGAAUUAUUGUAUAACUCCUUUCUCCAAUUACAUUUCUUCAGUAAGUGUUGCAUCAUGGGAAGGGCUUCCCAAAGGCCUGCCCAGAAACUUGGGCAACGCUUCCUCUGUUCCACACUUGUGAUGCUGAAGUCAGGAGGCUUUUGAAUGAUGUCCCCAGAGUCCAGCUCCUGGCCCAUCGCCAGUCACAGAACAUGUGUUCAGGAAACGUCACCAAGUUGGCUGCUGUCCAUAUCCCCAGAGAUCUCCAGGGUUUCAACACUGGACUUUGGUACUUGGGGGAGGGUGAGCCAGAGAGGAGGAGGAGCAUCUGGGAGGCCAGUCCAGCUGUGACUAGCUUCAGGACAUUCUGAGGAUGGAAGAGGCAUGAAGACCCUGUUCAAGACUGGAGUUUAGGAAUCCAUCCAUUUGUCUCCAUCUGGGUCCUUUGUGGGUAUUUCUCUGCAAUAUUUGACUUGCCUUUCAGUUGGUUACACUCCAUGGACUCUCUCUCUCUCUCUCUCUCUCUCUCUCUCUCUCUCUCUCUCCCCCUUUCCCAUGUGUGUGUGUAUUCAUACAUAUAUAAAUAUGUAUAACAUUUGUAUAUUAUUGUGUGGAAAGGAAGAGAGAGUGGUGUUUUGAGAACACAUGAGUGGGUUAAGCCUUCCCUCCAGUAUCCAUCUGCCCCCCAGCAGAGUCUUUCCUAAUCACCUUUGUGCUCCUAGGCUUCUAACAGCUGACUAGAGGUGGCCCUCACAGAUGGCACCAUGGAGGGCAAGAAUGUUCUGGCUGGGCUGAAUGGUGGUGAGUCACGCCUUCAUCUCCAUCUCUAACCCAAGGAAGGGAUCCAGCUAGGACCAUGAAAUGCCAGAGAAGCAAGAAAAUGAAAGGACUUUGGAUUCAGUCCCUCUUAGUAGAUAUGGAGUAGCUGAGGUCUACAAAGGGUCUGGAACAGUCCCUAGGCCACAAAGUCAGUGGCAAAGCCAGUGCUAGACUGGAAGCAGGUUUGUGGAAGUUCUGGAGUUAAAAUCCCAAUCUUUAUUAACUCAAUCUGCAACAUGGUGUCCAUUACCAACAUGCAGGAGCCUGCUGUGAUGUCGUAGAA